rnacentral:rRNA from 1 species
GGGGAAUAUUGGACAAUGGGCGAAAGCCUGAUCCAGCCAUGCCGCGUGAGUGAUGAAGGCCUUAGGGUUGUAAAGCUCUUUCAGUAGGGAAGAUAAUGACGGUACCUACAGAAGAAGCCCCGGCUAACUUCGUGCCAGCAGCCGCGGUAAUACGAAGGGGGCUAGCGUUGUUCGGAUUUACUGGGCGUAAAGCGCACGUAGGCGGAUUGGUCAGUUAGGGGUGAAAUCCCAGAGCUCAACUCUGGAACUGCCCUUAAUACUGCCAAUCUAGAGUCCGGAAGAGGUGAGUGGAACUCCUAGUGUAGAGGUGGAAUUCGUAGAUAUUAGGAAGAACACCAGUGGCGAAGGCGGCUCACUGGUCCGGUACUGACGCUGAGGUGCGAAAGCGUGGGGAGCAAAC